UACAGAGGUCUCAAGCGUUGUUCGGAUUCAUUGGGCGUAAAGGGUGUGUAGGUGGCGCCGUAAGUCGGGUGUGAAAUUUCGGAGCUUAACUCCGAAACUGCAUUCGAUACUGAAGAUCUUGAGUCCGGGAGAGGUGAGUGGAACUGCGAGUGUAGAGGUGAAAUUCGUAGAUAUUCGCAAGAACACCAGUGGCGAAGGCGGCUCACUGGCCCGGUACUGACGCUGAGGCACGAAAGCGUGGGGAGCAAACAGG
rnacentral:rRNA from 1 species